rnacentral:misc_RNA from 1 species
AAUCAUCAAAACCUUUUCUUUGAUCCUUUGGGUUGAGAAAAGGAUUUUGGACUUGGAGGAUCAAUGCUCACUCUCACCUUUUUGAAAGUGGGCUCCUCUCAAAUAUAUUAGUGGGGGUUUGCUUCGCCGAUCCUUGACGUGAUAAGUCGUUUCUACGUUUUGGAUUUGGUGCUGUCUCUUUAGACACCUGCUCCUAACUGUCUUAUGGACAAUGAUGGUGUUCUGGUCACCGCUGCCUGUGUUGGUGGUGGGAGGGCUGGACCCACAAGAUAA